CCUACGGGAGGCAGCAGUAAGGAAUAUUGGUCAAUGGACGAAAGUCUGAACCAGCCAUGCCGCGUGAAGGAUGAAGGUCCUCUGGAUUGUAAACUUCUUUUAUAUGGGACGAAAAAAGGGUUUUCUAACUCAACUGACGGUACCAUAUGAAUAAGCACCGGCUAACUCCGUGCCAGCAGCCGCGGUAAUACGGAGGGUGCAAGCGUUAUCCGGAUUCACUGGGUUUAAAGGGUGCGUAGGUGGGUUGGUAAGUCAGUGGUGAAAUCCCCGAGCUUAACUCGGGAACUGCCAUUGAUACUAUCAGCCUUGAAUACCGUGGAGGUCAGCAGAAUAUGUCAUGUAGCGGUGAAAUGCUUAGAUAUGACAUAGAAUACCAAUUGCGAAGGCAGCUGGCUACCCGAAUAUUGACACUGAGGCACGAAAGCGUGGGGAUCAAACAGGAUUAGAUACCCUGGUAGUCCACGCCCUAAACUAUGGAUACUCGACAUACGCGAUACACUGUGUGUGUCUGAGCGAAAGCAUUAAGUAUCCCACCUGGGAAGUACGACCGCAAGGUUGAAACUCAAAUGAAUUGACGG
rnacentral:rRNA from 1 species